UUAUCUCUGUAGAGUCUGCAUUAUCAAUAAGCGGAGGAAAAGAAACUAACUAGGAUUCCCUAAGUAACGGCGAGUGAAGCGGGAAGAGCUCAAAUUUGAAAUCUUCAAGGUUCUACCUUGACGAAUUGUAGUUUAAAGAAGUGUUUUCUGUUGGAAGUUUUGGUAAAAGUUCUUUGGAAUAGGACAUCAUAGAGGGUGAGAAUCCCGUAUUUGACCGAUUAUUUCCAGCUGUGUGAUACACUUUCAAAGAGUCGGAUUGUUUGGGAAUGCAGUCCAAAAUGGGUGGUAAAUUUCAUCUAAAGCUAAAUACUGGCGAGAGACCGAUAGCGAACAAGUACCGUGAGGGAAAGAUGAAAAGAACUUUGAAAAGAGAGUUAAACAGUACGUGAAAUUGUCAAAAGGGAAGCGUUUGACACCAGUGUUGUUUUCUCGAAAAUCAAUUAAAAAGGAUUGGAUUUUGUGUUGUAUUGACUUUAUCAGCUUUCUGCACUCUUUUCAUUGUCUUUUUUAAUGCACUUUUCGUUUAACAAGUCAACAUCAAGUUUCUUUUGUUGUAAAAGGGUCAUUGGAAGGUGGCUUUCCUUUCGGAGAAAGUGUUUAUAGCCUUUGGCUUCUGCAAUCGGAGAGAUUGAGGUCUGCAGCGUAGAUCCUUCGGGGUUAGAUACAUUUGUGCUAAGUUAUAGCCUUUUCAUAGACAACAUUGUUGACUAUGAUCAGUCAUGUAGCUUACUCGCUUAUGCUAUUUUACCUACGCUUAGGAUGUUGAUCUCUCACAGUCGAGC
rnacentral:rRNA from 1 species